rnacentral:rRNA from 1 species
CUACGGGUUGCUGCAGUGGGGAAUAUUGGACAAUGGGGGAAACCCUGAUCCAGCAAUGCCGCGUGUGUGAAGAAGGCCUGCGGGUUGUAAAGCACUUUCGGUUGGGAGGACUGCUUCUAGCACUAAUAUUGUUGGAAGUUGACGUUACCUUCAGAAGAAGCACCGGCUAACUCCGUGCCAGCAGCCGCGGUAAUACGGAGGUGCAAGCGUUAAUCGGAAUUACUGGGCGUAAAGAGCGCGUAGGCGGCUAGAUCAGUCGGGUGUGAAAGCCCCGGGCUUAACCUGGGAACUGCAUCCGAUACUGUCUAGCUUGAGUACAGGAGAGGAGAGUGGAAUUCCACAUGUAGCGGUGAAAUGCGUAGAUAUGUGGAGGAACACCAAUGGCGAAGGCAGCUCUCUGGCCUGAUACUGACGCUGAGGUGCGAAAGCGUGGGGAGCAAACAGGAUUAGAUACCCCGGUAGUC